rnacentral:lncRNA from 1 species
CCCUGUCCUUGUUUCUCUUUUGUCUAUCUUCUUUUCUCCUGGAAUUGCUUCUCCCUGCCAUCUACCUCUUCAUCACCUUUUGCUUCUGUUCGCUUGAAAGGUAUUGGUGGAUAAAGAACCAGAAUAUGCAAUUAAGCAUAUCGAGAAUGUAUGUGAAACAAUGUUACAAUUAGUUUAAUGGCAAAUAUGAAGCAUAAUGUUGUAAUAUUGCAUAUUUCAUUGCUCCAAAAUCACUAUUAUUAUAUAUUUCUGUCAACUCUAGAAUAACAUCAUCC